rnacentral:rRNA from 1 species
GACGAACGCUGGCGGCGUGCUUAACACAUGCAAGUCGAACGUGUGGCGAACGGGUGAGUAUCACGCGGGUUAUCUGCCUUCCACUGCGGGAUAAGCCUGUGAAACUGGGCCUCAUACCGGGUAGUGCAAGAUGAGCUCGCGGCCUAUCAGCUUGUUGGUGGGGUAAUGGCUACCAAGGCGCGACCGGUAGCCGGCCUGAGAGGGUGUACGGCCACAUUGGGACUGAGAUACGGCCCAGACUCCUACGGGAGGCAGCAGUGGGGAAUAUUGCACAAUGGGCGGAAGCCUGAUGCAGCGACGCCGCGUGGGGGAUGAAGGCCUUCGGGUUGUAAACUCCUUUCGACAGGGACGCGGUACCUGUAUAAGAAGCACCGGCUAACUACGUGCCAGCAGCCGCGGUAAUUC